UACAGUUCUCUGGGGCUGCAGUCCCCAUAACCAUGAGAAGUGGAAGAGGAGCAUACGAGUCAAGUUCCCCAUGCACUGGUAUUUAGUAGGGAAUCCUUGUGUAGGAGCCCAAAUAUCUAUUUAGCUAUUAGGAUAGUAUGUAAGCUUUAAUCGAAUCUUGAACUAUAGCACUUGAAAGCAAUUAAACAUAUACUCAACUAUCUUCUACUAAGAACAAGAGGCUAUAUACAGGGCCGGCCUUGGGGCCAAGCCACCUAGGCAACCGCCUAGGGCCUCCAAAAAUGUGGUUUGGGUCCAGGGCCUCAAAACUCAUAGUAAUACCACCAAGGAAGUCCAGCAGAAACUUAGAACCUUCAGGAAAUUGAAGGACACGGGAAGGAAAUUGAAGGGACGGGAAGGAAAAUGAAGGCAAGGGAUUGAUUCAACCAAAAGAUUUUCCACCGAUGAAAUACGUUUGAAAUCUGGGUUUGAAUCUAUAGAGACUGUAGAGAAGAACAUAGUAAAAAAUGGUGUUCAUUACUGAAGAUAUCAUCAAGCAAUUUGGAACUAUGAUGGAAAAAACUGAUCUGUUGACGAGCCAUUGAAGAAGACUUUUGAGGUUUGGCAUCGUUGCUGAUCUUUUUUUGCAAAUUGAUUUUCUUGAAUCCGGGUUCUGCUCUCUUGUUCUGCUUGUUUAUUCACUUAUUUAUUGUCUGAACUGGGGAAUUGGAUAUUGUGAUAGUCAAUAUCUAAUCAAAGAACUUCUAUGAUUUGAGAGAGGAUGUGACUAAUAUUUCAUAAAUUAAUUCUUGUCUAGUCAGUUUGAAUGUAAAAACUUGGACAUUGGGAGGGUACAUUUGAGUUUCUGAGAUAUCAAAAUUAAAGUUCUAAUGAAAAUGCGAUCUUCAGAUA